UCAGAGGUCAUUGGUGCAGCUGGCCGGCAACAAGGAUAACAUUGAGCGUUGGAGAUGGUGCAGCUCAGUGCCAGAGAACAACCAGUACUGAUUAUUAGCACAACGCCAAAUUUGUAACCCUGUGGGAGCGUAACAUCGCUCAGUGAAUUCUAGGGUGAUAACAAGAAGCCGUGAAUCAAUAUGAGAUGUUACAGCUACAAGAUUGGCUUCUGCUCAACAAAGUGGAAAAUGCCCGGUGACAUCCUAACCCUAAAAAUAGGCCAAAUACAACCCCAUCAGUCUACUGUUGAUCAGAGGCAAUAUGAUGAUGAAAAAUCAGCAGCAUUAUAAAGCUGCACUUACUCAGCAAUAACCAAUUGUACAACUUACCAAUGCCCAGUUUGGACUGUUAGGAUCAGUCAUCUACAGACCACAUAUGGACAAAAGAGCUGAAUUCCAGUGGUGAGAAGGUCAAAAGAGGGGAUGUUCACUGCAGAUUCCAUUAAGAAUACUUCGACACCGAAACAGCCUCUACCCACUUGCAGUAAGCCCCAGACAGCAUUCACGCUUGGGUUGAUAAUUCAGAAAUAAUACCUGUAGCUCACAAGUAUCAGACAAUACACAUCUCUAACUAGCAAGAAUAUAGAUAACGCUUCGUGACUGUCAGCAAUGCUACAGUGAUGCAUCCUAUAGCAUUGGCUGUUGGGAGUUACCAGUGACUGUAAGCAUAACUGGACAAAUCUUAUAAACAAAAUACUUGUACAAGAAAAACAAGUCAGAUUAUAUAUUCUGUGGUGAAUUACUUACCUCCUAAUUUUCCAAAGCUUGUCCACUAACAACAAAACAUAAGUCAGGAAUGUGAUGGAACAAUCUCCAUUUACUUGCGCAAUGUCGGGUAAAUAUCUGUUUCCCUUGGUACUGUUAAAGGAAGUUGUUCAUUUAACUGAGGAAUUCUCCCCUGCGCAUUCACCCCACCAACCCCAGAUCAUUCUCCUGGUUCCCCACCUGCUCCAGCCUGGCAAGAGAGAUGUUACCAUUUUUGCAUUCAGACCAUGUAAAAUGCCGCUGGGAGGCAGUUUAUAACAUAGAUAUCCAAUGAUUCAUGAGGUAACCCAGCACUGUGAAGAAACCGGUGCUUAAAGUGGCAGUGAGUGAAUGUGCUUCAGAGAGACAGAGGGAGAUACACCAUUGGCAUUUUAACCAUCUGUCAACUGGAUUUCCAUCUGGUGGGCAGUGUUAUAAAAUAGCCUAAAGUCUUUGCAAUUAUCAAAUGCUGCGCAUCUAAGAGCUUUACUACAGUUUGUAUUUGUUUUAUUUUCUAAUCAACCUGUUUAGUGUUUGCCAUUACACACUUAUAGCACAGGUGUGACUUAAAUCAUGGCCUCCUAGCUCGAGGGUAGGGACACUACCACAUGGGGCCCCAACUCACAUUUAUUAUCUUUUCUCUCUCAUUGGAAUCAGAGGUUGAGCUCAAUAUUUGAAAUAAAUCACUCUAAAAGCAGCAACAUGGUUGAGAUGUUUGCUUUAUCUUUGCUGUACGUUUUGGGCCCAUUGACAGUUACACAAUGUUAUUCCUUUAACAGUGCCAGAAAUCUUUGUAAUGACUUAUCAAAUGUUUCAAGGCUUUCAGUAAAAUUACAUAAUAUAUACUCAAUGGAAAAUGUGGUCAGAUUAGAAUUUACUGCUCGCCAGCUCCAUAAACAUAAAUCAGAAAUUAUGUUCUAAACUACAAUUUAACGUUACAUUGCUUAUGUAAGUCAUAAGCAGCAAACACAACUGAUCAGCAUACUACAGCUACAUGAGGUAAAAGUGUUGCAAAUGUGUUGGGAGGUGUCUAUGUAUUUCCUCAGGGGAGUGCAACCCAAGUCAUGUCAGGGAAACAGGAAUUUGGAUUAAAGCUAAGAUCCACUGGUCUUUAACCCCGUAUAAAUAAUCUGGGAGACACAAGCAAGAUGCCCCACCCUCAGUUCCAAAGCAAAGCCAAAUUGUUUGAUGUUUUCAAGGAGCUUUUAUAGCUAAACCAGGAACUGUAUUCAGUAUGUCAACUACUACAUCUGAUCAUAAGUCAGAUGUAGUUGAAAAAUAAUAAAUUGGAAAAGGGCUACAAUUAGUUCUGUUUUUUUCUGGAGUAUUUGAAUGCAAUGCAUGCAGACUGAAAGACUUUCACAAAAGCCAAAGUAUCAAAGAAUUCAGUGAGCAUUAAGAUAGGAGUAAGGCAAUCAGAAACCACUCUUAACUGGGAGAUAUGGUUUGUUUUAUGAGAGGGGUGGGGUUAAAAGAAUGGAGAGGCCUGAGGAAGAUUAUCACUAAAGAUGGAAAAAUAAUUGGACAGCAUGGGAACCAGACUGUUUUGACUUGAUUUGAUUUAUUAUUAUCAUGUGUCCCAAGGCACAGUGAAGUGUUCUGUUUUGCAUACAGUACAGGCAGAUCAUACCAUACAAAGUGCAUAAUAGAACAGAGCAAGGAGUACAAUGUUACGUCUACAGAGCAAGUACACAAAGAUUGAGUUGGUUGGUGUAGAUUAUAAAUUUGUAGAGUCUGAAGGAGUUCUAGAAAGAGAUGAGAAUCCAGGCACAUCUUGAAUCCAAAUGUUACACAAUUAGAAGAAUCAGACUGCUACAACUGACAGUUUGUCCAUUGACUGACAGUUCUGAUGUUUAAUUGGACCCACAAAUCAACUGCCAAAAAUGGAUGCCAAAGUAAAAUAUUUACAUGAAGGGGCUAGUCAAUGGAGAAAUGUGGCUAUUACAAGUUGACCAGGGAAGUAGAAUAGAAGAGACAAAAGGUGACUGAAUGUAUUUAUGAGGGGCAGGAGGUUAGGCAAAUGGAUUAAGAACAAAGUACAAAGGUGGAAGGCAAGAAGACUUAGUGUCAGCUCAAAAUUGGGCCUGGGAGCAAACGUGGCCUGAGAAAGAGUGCAUGAACCAUUGAAAAAAAAUCCAUUAGCAGGAAGGGGAGGUCAAAUAGUAGCAGCCUAGGAAGAGAAAAGGCAACAUAGUGAGUGUAGCUUAUCACAGGAUAAAAAUAGAGUAGGAUCCAGAAUUAGUUCUGGAACAUACUACCAGUAGACAGAAGCUGAUAUCACUGUGCAAUUAAGGUUGACAGCAGGCAUUCAAUAUUGGAGAGUCAAUAGGGAGUUUAUCUGGCUGGAAAGCUGCAGAAGGGAAAGUGAGGAACUGGCCACAUCAAAGUGGAGACAUACUGUCUCCAGUUCUUAAAAUCUUAAAUCAAUAUUUGGCUUUUGUAGCCAGUUGAGGCGUAGCCCUUUACAGGUUGGCCUCUGGAAGGAAAAUCUAAUAAAACUGGCAAAGGUCUCAUAUUUGUCUGCCUUGUCCAUUUCAAAAUGGAUGUGCAGUGUGACCAGUACUUCUAUUUCCAAGCAUGACUGGUCUUUUAUUAUUUCUUUUUCCCUCUGCGCUGGACUGAAGCAGGUACCAGGGAAAGCCCUGAGCCCUGUCUGGAACUGGACAGUCAAAACGGUCCGUUGUGCCUGGGGAAUCCUGGAGGCUUACUCGAAUAACCCGCGUAGUCACCUUCAGUUAUCUUAAGUGCAUGCGCCCUUAAUUUCAUGGAUCAGCUUCCUGCCACAUUCCAGUGGGAGCCUUGCUACUUCCUGUCAACUGCCUACAUGAAAGUAGCACAGAGGAGGCCGAGCCAACACACUGGCCAAUGGUGCUAUUUUUUAACGCCUGCUUGCCUGCCUGCCUCCUCUUAUCAGACCCGGCAGGGCCUAUAAAUCAAGCACUUGAUAUUUGUAUUGUGUGGGAAUGUUACACUGUUUGAAAUUCAGCUGAAGGAAGCGGUACAUGCCUUCUGUUAAAGUUAAACAAAGCUGGCAAACCAGUAAACAUUCUUUCUGUUGUGGAGAAGUAUCUGAUUUCAGUGAGACAACACGUUUCCACUUACAGAGCCAAUCUCUGAUUCAUUAUCUUCAAACUGUUCUCAUGGGAUAUCUUAGUGCAGUGUCACUGAAUGUAUGCAUGAAUACAGUAUUGUUCAGUGACAUCAAGCAUCUGCAAAAAAUAAGAUACUAUUCACAAUUUUUUAAGAUGGAAAUUUUCCUCAGUGAAUUUAUUCACUACAUUUUACUUCUAAAAGCAACAAGAAUGGUUUUAACGCUGGAUACAUAAAAACUCUGAUGUAAAGUACCAUGGAUCAGUAGGCAGUGGACAAUACCCAGUCUCUCAUUUAUGUCACUUCAUGACUCCUCUAGUCUGGGAGUUUCGAAAAAAAAAUGAACAGAGCAAAAAUAAUUGGAGAACAUUUCAACCCAUAUGAUACAGUUCCGUACCAAGUGAUUUUCACAGGUGUCCUGGAAUUAGUUGAUGAGAGCUGUGGUAAAAUUAAUCACAUGGCCUUCCUAUUUGAUACCCACCAGGCCCAACCUCUCCACAAUCUUAUAUUUGGCCAGCUGAUACUUGCCCCAUUUGAGACCCUUUAGUGGCCAAUUAAUAAUUACUGAAGAGUUGUUCACUCUUCGGUUUUCUUAAGUUAUAACAGUUCAGGCAGCAAAAUUUAGAACCAUUUUAAAAAUGUUUUUCUUUCUGAAAUUUCACAUUCACAUUCACAUUCUGAAAUAGUUCUAGGAACGUAGCUUUAAUCGUUAUUUGUUGAGAAAUUAGACACGCGAAUUAACACCAUGUUAAAUGUGAGUUGAAGUUGUAAUCACUGAGGAGGCACACUUUAUUCUAAGAUCUCUGAUAAGGUAGUAAAAUAGAAGACAACUCAAACUUGUCAGUGCUUUAUAGCACCCUCAGGAAGAAAAUGGUAAACGACUUCUGUAUGAAAUAUGUUCAUUGGAGGAGGGUGACAGAAAAGGAACAGUCAUGAAAGAACUCAAAAAUCAGGAACAAAGUGUUUACCAACAACGUUGAUAUGUGUUGAUAAAAGCAUGAUUAGAAAGCCAAGGUUGGGAGAUUGUUUCACUGCAAGUGAUGGCCAAAGUUGGCUCUCAGCCACAAACAUUUCGACUAGACACAGAGUUUUAAUUGUCUGUUAUAUCAAAGGAAUGCUGUAAGAAUGAUGAAAACAGUUCAACAGCAAGUAGAAUUGCCAGUGGCUUUUAUUUCUUAUGAACUGUUGAAAUUUUUUACUUUGUCUUACAAAAUAAGUUGUAAUUUUAUGAUAAAGUAACCGUGAUGAAUUCAUCGAUAUCAGCCUAACUGAAUAAUGCACAUGCAGUGGCAACGUAAUCCUCAAAGGGCUGGUGGAAGAAAUCUGUCAGUAGACAAACUCCAUCAUUUAUGUUAAAAUAAAAUCAGAAAAUGCUGAAAUACUCAUUGGGUCAAUUCGCAUCUGUGUUGAGAGGAACAGUUCUGAGGAAAGAUAAUCGAUCUGAAACAAUAAUGUACUGUAUGAUCUUCCAUUAGGAAACAUAAAUAUAGCGUCAGGCAUGUUAGUAGUCCUCACUUCUGCUCAGAGCACUGAAUCAGAGUAUCUGGUCCAGCCCAUUCAGAAAAGAAAGGGGAAGGCCUUUUCCAAUGGAUGCCAGCAAGAAACUUGCUCAUCAGACCUGGGUGACCUGAGGUGAGGUUACAGCACUGUGGGUUUCAUUAUAGAACUUGGAUCCAUUGCAGGAAGAGGCGGAACAAUCUCCUGUGAUCCACCAGGGUAAAUGCCAUUGCCUGUUCAUUGCAAACAAAUACUCAUUGGGAUACUCAGUCUUGCCGUGCCAAUAUAGAGGCAUGUCAGAUAGGGCAAUCGACAAUAGGUCUCGGCACCAUAUGGAUGAUGUACGCUGACUAUGCCGACAGUCUCAUUGUGCUGUCAAUGUUAUUUCAGUUUCCUUACUGCCACAGUUAAUCAUGACUUUGAGAGGAUUUACGAUCUGGUAUGACCAUGCUUGCUGAUAAAAUGCCUGAUCAUCUACUUUGAUCACACUCAAUCCUUCUUCAUCUGCAGGACAAAUUUGUGUACACCAAGAGGAUGCCAUGGAGAGGUGCUGGAUCUAUGAUUUCUCAAUGCCUGCUGCAGAGCUAGUAGGAGAACGCCAUGACUGUGAUUGGCUUUCAUUGGCAGAGGAGUUGAGUUUAAGAGCCGCAAGGUUAUGCUGCAGCUCUGUAAAACUCUGGUUAGACCACAUAUGGAAUAUUGUGUUCAGUUCUGGUUGCCUCAUUAUAGGAAGGAUGUGGAAGCUUUAGAGAGGGUGCAAAGGAGAUUGCCUGGACUAGAGGACAGGUCUUAUGAGAAAAUGUUGAGGGAGCGAGGGCUUUUUUCACUGGAGUGAAGAAGGGUGAGAGGUGACUUGAUAGAGGUGUACAAGAUGAUGAGGCAUAGAUAAGAGUGAUUGUCAGGGACUUCUUCCCAGGCUAGAAAUGACUGUUAUGAGGGGGCAUAAUUUUAAGGUGAUUGGAGGAAGGUAUAGGAGAGAUGUAGGGUAUGAAGGGUAGAUUGAUCUUAGUAGGAUAAUAGGUCGGCACAACAUUGUGGGUUGAGGGGCCUGUACUGUGCUGUACUGUUCCAUGUCUGUGUUCUAUGAUUGCACUAGCAGAACCGGUAAAGGAAGCUCGGGAGGAAGUCUCCAGUCUGGUGUUCUCCAGUAUGCGAGCGACAUGAGACAUUGUUUACAGAUUCUAGUUUUGCGGGGUCCAAUUGCUUCUUCUUUACCAUGGACGUGCAGUCCCUUUACAUGCCCGUCCCCCAUCAGGAUGGUCUCGGGGCUCUCCGUUUCUUCCUGGAAGCAAGGCCCAAACUGUCCCCGUCCACCACCACCCUCCUCCACCUGGCUGAGCUCUCCCUCACACUGAACAACUCCUCUUUUAACUCCUCUCAUUUUCUUCAAGUCAGGGAGUGGCUUUGGACACCUACAUGGGCCCUAGUUAUGGCUGUCUUUUUGUGGGAUAUGUCUACUCAGGCAACCACCAUCAACUCGUUCUCUGGUAUAUUGCUGAUCUCAUUGGCAUUGCUUCCCUUUCUUGUCCAAAAUUGAAAAUUAUGAUCAAUUUCACUUCUAAUUUCCACCAGGCUCUGACCUUCACCUGAUCCAUCUGCCACCCCUCCCUUCCUUUCCUCGACAUCUCUGUUUCCAUUUCUGGGUAUAGGCUGGGUAUAAUAUCCACUACAAACCCACUGAUUCCCACAUUUACCUCAACUGUAUAUCCUCGCACCCUGCCUCCUGAAAAGACUCAAUCCCAUUCUCCCAGUUCCACCAUCUUCGUCACAUCUCUUCUGGUGAUGCCACCUUCUGCAGGGAGGCCUCAGUAAUGUCCACCGUGGGUGAUAGGGCUGUUAGUAGUGUUCUGCCCUGAUCCUUUCCGUUCCCUCCCACAACAAUGAUAUGUACUCCUGCCUCACGAAUAAUCCCACCAGCCUUCAUAUCCAAAGGAUCACAAGUCAUGGUUUUCACCACUUCCAGCAGGAUGCCUCCACCAGAUACUUAUUCCCCUCUACUCCUUUGUCAGUAUUCUACAGGCUCCAUUCCCUCUGGUACACCUUGGUCCACUCCUCUACUCCCAACAUCUUCCUAAACUCCCUGCAGCACCUUACUGUGCAAUCAUCGAAGGUGUAACACCUGCCCAUUCAUCUCCCUCCUCACUAUUCAAGGCUGCAGACAUGUCUUCCAGGUGAAACUGCAACUUACCCGUGCACUUCAUUCAAUCUGCUGGAUUUACUGUUCUGGGGAGAUGAAAUGCAGACUUGGUGACCAUUUUGCAAAGCAUUGACCCAAGGCUUCCCGUUGCUUGUUCCUGCCAACAGACCACCAUGUUCCCAUAUCAAUAUCUUUGUCUUGGGCCUGCUGCAGUGUUCCAGCGAGCCUCAGUGCAAGCUUGAAGAACAAUAUCUCAUUUUCCACUUGGGGACCCUGCAGUAUCUAAGAUUCAGCAUCGAGUUCAAUAACUUUAGAACCUGUUUCCAUCCUUAAUUCUAAACCACCCCACCUAGUCCUGUUAUGGCAUGGGUUGCUUUUUAGGACAAACACCUGUUCUCCUCUACUCCUAGGCCUAUUAUUACAUUAUAUGGGUUGCAUUCAGUACAGCUCACCCAUUUUCUCCUACCCUCAGCUCUUAUUAUCACUUAUUCAGCAUUUCUUCUCCAUAAUCUUUUUUUACCUACACCUUUCAUAUCUCCCUUUCUGUGAGCUCCAUCUCCACUUUUCCACUUACCUCUUUCCCCACUUUGAAGGACAUACUUAUGUAUGUUUAUGGACUGUGAGGAACUGCAAUAUAGAAAUAUUUGGAUAUUCAAGAUUUAAAGGGUUUUGAAGGAACAUGUGGUCUCUGGGAUUCCCUCUCAAAAUUGACUGGGCUAUGAAAAGUUUUCCCAUUUUAUUCUUGGAGUUCUGAUCCUUGCCUUAUCAGUUUGUUUUUAGAGUCAUAGAGUCAUACAGCAUGGAAACAGAUACUUCAGUCCAGCUAGUCCAUGCUAACCAAGUUUCCCAAACUAAACUAGUCCCACUUGCCUGGAUUUGGCCGAAAUCCCUCAAAACCUUUCCUAUUCAUGUACCUAUCCAAAUGCCUUUUAUAUGUUUUAACUUUACCUCCACCUUCACUUCCUCUGGCAGUUCAUUCCACGUCUGAAACAUCCUCUCUCCUCAAUUAACAUGGCCCCUAAUUUUGAACUUCUUAGAAAAGAGGCCUUUGCUAUUCACCUUAUCAAUGGACCUUAUGAUUUUAGAAACCUCUACAAGGUCACCCCUACACUCCAGUGAAAAAUAUCCCAGCCUGCCCAGCCUCUGUUUAUAACUCGAGCCCUCCAGCCCCAGCAACGUCCUUGUAAAUCUUUUCUAAACCCUCCCCAAUUUAAUAUAUCCUUCGUAUAGCAAGGCAACCAGAACUGUACACAGUACUCUAAAAGUAGCCUUACCAAGGUUGUGUGUAACCUCAAUGUGAUGUCCCAUACUCAGUGGCCUGAGCAAUGAAGGCAAGCAUGCUAAAUGCCUGCUUAACCAUCCUGUCUACCUAUGACACAACUUCCAAAGAAUUAUGCAUCAAAACCCCUAGGUCUCUGUGUUCGGCAACACUACUCAGGGUCCCACCUUUCAAAAAGAAACAUUAUCGUUGCAGAGUUCUGUUGCUUUGUCUGACAUUUGAUUGUGUGUUUGGGAUUAAGGCAAAAUCUUUUCAUUCUGCGUAAUAUUUAGUUGAUAACCAAUUUUGCCAUUUAUUGUGAGAAUAGGUUUGUUUCUAAUAAAUGAGUUUUCAAGUUUAUUGAAGAAGCUGAGGAAAGUCUCUUUUGUUCUGGAACAGCACUAAAGAGAAAUAAAAUGACAAUUUUGCCAAUUAGAUAAGCCUUCUACACUGUUGGUAUGUCUUUGGAGUUGGUCUUGAUCAUCAGUGUACUCCUUCCAUCCACCUCCCCUUGCCUACCCCUCUCCCACCUCAAUUGGAAUCAUACCAAUUGUACUUGUUGGGCGAAAUGUUUGCAUACAUAAAUUACUUUUUGACCAGAUGACAAAUUCAGAUACAUCAAGUGUGGCAAGGUCAGACGGAAUGAAAAAAAUGCUCUCUUUAACAGUGUGCCUAAUCCCCAAGCUCACAAUAUUUGCCAGUUUGAUAUUUCACUUUUCCUAUUCUAGUCGUUAUAUGAUCUUUAUGAUCAGAUUGCUAAUUUUGUGUCAAAAUAUGGUCAGUUUCAUUCUAUAUAUAUGUAUACACAUAGAGUGGAUUUCAGACCCAAAGUAACUGGAGUCAGUGCUCACAUGGAAUCAUUAGCUGCAGUGACCAAUACAAUGAAUCCUUACAGUGGCAUUCAGUACUUAAUUGUCUGUGAUUUUAUUGCAUGACUUUUUAGCUCAAAAAAUAUAAAGGCUGAUAGCUUGGUUUAUUUUUCAUGUAUCAAUCCCUUUUAACUUUUUCUAUCAAGGCUUUAGAAUUAUGCACUACUAUGUUCACAUUCUGUAUGAUAGAAUGCUUUUUAAAUUUACUACAAAUAAAACAUUACUUUCAGAGUACACAUACUACAUAGUGGUAACAUUAUUAUACACAAUGAUUCUGGCAAGAACAUCGAUUUCUCCCUCCCCGAGUCCUUCAUUUUUCUUAACUUUGUUGAUGAUUAAGACAUUUUGUUGCAUGUUACAGUUCUCCCAUACCCCACUAGUCUAGACGUGGCCAUCAACAAGUAACACUUCUUCUGGCACAAAAUCAUUUAUUUUUCCAAUAAUUGUAUUCUUAAAUGGAUUUUAUUACUUGAAACUACUUUAUAUUUAUAAAUUGGCAUUUGAUUUUGCUCCUUUCUAUUAUUGUUAUUUAUUUCUCUUUUAUUAUAAUCAGGUUUAUAGUAAUGUAGUUUUCACCUUCUCUACCAGAAUUUCUAGGGAAUAUUUUAAUAAUUAGAACCAAUUGUCAUGAUGAACAAAGUACAAGAAUUCUAAAUUCUGUAAUCUUAUCGCUAAGAUGUUGCAGAGGAAUAACUACACACACUUUUUCGGACUGUAAUAAUCCUGGCUGAAGAAAUUGACAGUGCUCUACCAUUCUUUGAUUUCAUUGUCAAUAAUUAGUUGGAACUGACUUUUUGUACCACCUGUUCCUGAUUUUGACAUUGACUCUGCAGCAAUUAAGAGCAGAUAUGUGAGACCAUAAUAUCUCUACAACACUCUUAACUUGUCAUGCACAGUGCUAGGUGAUUCAUCUCAUUUCAUUUACAUGUCCUCCCAUUAAAAAUAUACUCAACUUCAGAAUGCGUUUACUCAGCACAAUUUGGCAAAAUAAUAUGUAUUCAAUUAAUGAUCGAACAGCAUUACAUCAAUAUUUAACAAUGAGAUAUCAAAAUUUGCAUGAUAACUCUGCAAAUAAUAUUGAAGAUACCCGAUCAGUAUUCUGUAAGAAGUCCCAGACUUGAGAUCUCUGCAGAGUUUAGGCAACCUGUUUGACUAAUAAUUCCCACUGGUGGUUGAGAGAUAAAUGAGAACAGUGACAAGCCUGCUUCAGGAAUAUGUAAAUUCUAUUAUUCAUUGGUUACUUAUUAGCCUGAUUUGAUUUUUAACCAACAAAUUGAGAUCUUUAUUAUUUGACAUAUCAUCCUAUGUCAAAUUGUAAACAUCAUAUUAAAGAAUUUGAAUUAAUCAAAUCAACUAUCAGUCUACACAGAUAUAAAUUGAGCUACAAAUAAUUGGCAGAAAUGGAGUGAAUGUCAGUUUUUUAACUCAUGGAUACAUUUUGGGGUAUGUUAUUGAUGUGGUAUGUUUCAAAGGCAUAACUCUACAAUUGUAAUGAUUCAUUUGUCGGUGCAGUAAAUUUGAGAAAAAAGUUUAUGAUUAAAAUCAUUGAACUGAUCAUGUCCAUUCAAUAAAAUAGAUAAUUUAUACUUGAGUGUUCUUGCCCUUCUUACAUUCAAUUUCUUUUAUAUUAAGUAACGGUCCACAAGGGAAAGUGAAAUAAUUUCAUGCACAUUGAAAAAUUAAAAAUGAUUAUACUUAAUAAAUGCAAAUAUACCAUUCUGUUGCAACCUAAUUCAAUUGUAUCAUGGGUAUAUUUAAGCUUAUGUUUGCUUUCUCAGUGUACCUCUUGCCAAUUAGCACUUCUGUCUCCUGAAGUAUGAAUUGUUUCGCAUUUGGUGUUCUUGCAAUUGUCCUGAUGAACAAGAGAUGGAAAACUUCAACACAUCUCACUUUUCAGUAAAAUAGAAGCAAAACUUGUAUGUUAGUAUAUUUGCACAUAUAAAGAUUUGUGCUGAUUGUUUAUAUGACAGUUAAUUUGUUUAAAAGGUUUUCAAACCUUCUUUAGUUGACUAUGUAAUGAUUGGUAUGAGGUCAGCCAGGUGGACAGAAAGAAUAUGAAUUCCUGAUUGGGGCUGUUAACCUGGCUCAAUCAGGGACUCCUGGCUGACAAAUAUAAACGGGAGUGUAGGGGUUCUGCUCACUCUCGGACCCAUCUCUGAGCAAGCUGGAUCAGUGUCUUGUACUAUAUAUGUGUAAAUAAAG